rnacentral:rRNA from 1 species
CGUAGGGACCAAGCGUUGUUCGGAUUUACUGGGGCGUAAAAGGGCGCGUAGGCGGCAGUUCAAGUCAGCUGUGAAAUCUCCGAGCUUAACUCGGAACGGUCAGCUGAUACUGUUUUGCUAGAGUGCAGAAGGGGCAAUCGGAAUUCUUGGUGUAGCGGUGAAAUGCGUAGAUAUCAAGAGGAACACCUGAGGUGAAGACGGGUUGCUGGGCUGACACUGACGCUGAGGCGCGAAAGCUAGGGUAGCAAACGGGAUU